rnacentral:rRNA from 1 species
UACGGAGGGUGCAAGCGUUAAUCGGAAUUACUGGGCGUAAAGAGCACGUAGGCGGUCUGGUCAGUCGGAUGUGAAAGCCCUGGGCUUAACCUGGGAAUUGCAUUCGAUACUGCCAAACUAGAAUGUUGGAGAGGGAAGUGGAAUUUCCGGUGUAGCGGUGAAAUGCGUAGAUAUCGGAAGGAACACCAGUGGCGAAGGCGGCUUCCUGGCCAAACAUUGACGCUGAGGUGCGAAAGCGUGGGUAGCGAACAGG